ACAGAGUUUGGGAAUCGGAGAGGAUAAUGGUGGUGAAAUGAUCAAAACCCAAUAAGUGCAAGUAUGAAAUUGCCAUAGUCAAGAAUUCUAAACACAUCAUAAAUACAUUACACGGCUAAUUUUGACGUUUAAACCCUCAGGCAUUAAUGAUGACCUGAUUCAAACAGGAUAAUUUUUAAUAGAAACUAAUAGGAAGGCCUAAUUCUGGACUUGAAAACAUUAGCUCACAAGGACAGGAUGGAGAAACCUUGUUUGAGAAGCAACAGGAGGGGCAUACUCAGUGGACAGUCUUAUUACAUCUGGUAGUGGCCAUGGGAAAGGUGACAUGCAUUUGGAGUCUAGUCAUGGAAAUGAGGAAUUUCUAACAAGGAGAUAAACGUUCCUAAUCUCUUUGCACUAGUCUAACAAUACAGAUUGCAUUCAGAUCUAGAUAACAGACAAGCACACUUUAAACAAAUGUUUAUUGACAUAUAAAUGUACAUCUCUCAGGGGUACAGAAUGGGAAUUCAAUAUGGGUGGGUAACGCACAACGAUCAAAGCCAAGUUAUCAAUCCCACAUCCUGAAGCAUGUAACGUUCCUUUGUGCCGAGAGACUUCUGGAUCUUUAUGACUGCACAAGGAAGCAUUGUGAGCUGCAGUCUCUGCCAACCUGCAGGAUAACACAGCUUGUUCCUCUGUGAACCCCUUUCAGUAUCUGUCAUCCGGCCACCCUCGACCAGUCUGCCUGGUCUUUCCAGCCUCUACUGACUGCUGUCCCACGCUGUGUCAUGAAGGAACCUGAAAUGGCUUGCACCAAAGCACAAACACAAACCAUCAGGAAGGUGGUUAGUGAAGUGGUGAACAUUCACUCCGGCAAAGGCAAUACAAGAUCUCACUGUUGUGCUGGUUUUGAACAUCUGGCCUCAACUCACCUCUCCAUCUCAGCUUCCAGAGUCGCUGGGACCACACAUGCUUCAUGCACUGGCUGCUCUGACCUAAAUCUCCAUGUCUUUCUUCCUUUGGUGAAUCUUUAGCUCUUCAUGAGCCCUAGGCUUUCCAGGGCAUAGAAGUCUGGUGUCCACCUGCAUGAGUGUGCUCUCUCUCUCUCUCCGAGAUCCACAGGGAUGAUGGAAUCCUCUCUGUCCGCUCACAGUCAGGUGGGGCUGCGUGACUGGCUCUAGCCAGUCUAUGAAGUUCCGUAUAUGCUCCUAGAUCGAGCACUAAAGAAAAAGUGUGAGCUGUCACGUUUUCCCCCUUGCGGCCAACCCUAGACAUCAGGCUGUCAGAGUAGAAGCCCAAAUUGAAGGUGGGCGAAGUUCCUGAGACAGGAGGAGAGAGGAGCUGUGUUUACAUUUCCUCAGGCUGGCUUUCCAGCUGAGGAGCCGCAGAGAAAGGCUAUCAGACCACGGCUGGAGAAUCUUCUCAGAAAGAAGAAAACCCAAGGGACUCAACAAUGAGAAAUGAGAGCCUAGAGUAAGCCCUGGGAGCUGUGCUCUGCUGGCUAUGCUGUCUAGGUCCAUGUAAGUCUUAUAAAGGAUUCUUAAACGUGGCUUUGGGUUACUGUUGUCUCGAUACCAUUUUUCUGUCUGACGGUAGCCAUGACCUCUCCCCACCUCAUACAUGCCUUCUGUACCUAUAAGAAAGGCAAGAAAAAAAAUGCCUCUCCAACUCUCCCGUCAUUUCAUCAGAACCAUGUACAGUGACCUGCCCUCAAAUAGGAUCGAGCUGGAAUGCUAAACAUAGAAUAAGUCUGACUAUCCCUGCAGCGUACCCCAGGUUAUGUGGGAACUCAGCCCUGCUCCUCUCCUUCCCUAUAGUUAGUCAGAGGACAAGUAUUUGUGACUGAUGAACGGAGUACUUCGUGUCUCGCUCUGCAGUGCAUAAAUGGGAAUUAUAGAAGUCGUGAUGGGUCUUUCCCGACAAACAUAAAUCAGGAUAGAUAAAAGGGAUGGAAAUUAGAAGCAGAAAGCGAUGUGUGAACGGAGCCCGUGGCCAGCCAUUCGUGCUCAUCCGCUUCCCCAUCUGUUUUAUUUGCAUGCAGGAAUCAUCUCCUUGUUUCCAUCUGAAGCUCCCUUUUCUAGAAGGUCAGAGCCUUUCCUUCCCACUUAUGUGUGAAAUAAACACAACCCAGUAAUCUUCCUUCCUCAAGCCCCUCCAGCUUACAUGCUUUGGGUAACUGAUCUUUAUCUCUGUGAAGAAGUUGAGAUUAAACUGGAAGUGGGAGGAGCCUAUCAUUUUGACACGGUGUAUUAUUAUCUAUUUCAAGAAACAAAGAAACGAAGAACUUCUAGGUGUGUAAGGGAAAGGUCAUGCUGAAGGAAAGCCCUAUUAUUUUCUUUUUCAAAUGUCCUUGGCACAGAAACAAAAUACUCGUCAGAACGGACCCAAACUCUCAUUACAUUGGCACAUCUCUACCGAAGAUUGUCUUGGCCAUUUUUAAGGAAGGAGCUGAGGCAGUGUGAGUGAGUGAUAAAGGUGCAUAUGCAGGCUGUAAAGAGCACACAGGGCAAACACUGCUCUAAGAAAUGUCUUGUGCCUGCUUCUACAGGGUAAUAUAUGCCAGGAGAUGGUUUCAGGUUGGCAGAAAUCCCAGCUCCCCUGUUGCGACCUAUGGCGUCACCCUCAGGGUGAGUGCAAAGUGUGUGGUUGUUUCGGCCAUUAUUAGCAGGGUGACAGUCAAGGGUAACAUGCCCUCUAGGAACAAGAAGAAAGGUAUUCACUUUUAACACUUAAAACAUGGGAUGGUUUUAUAUAUCCUCACUAAAGUCUGCAGGGGAAGAUUGGCUUUUUUUUUGCCUCUGAAAACUAUCACUGUCGGUUCUAUAUGUCAGCCACCAGCUAUUUAACAGACACUCCCUUGUGCAUAUGUUUGUAGGAUGUUUACAGAUAAGGUGCUGAAGCUCAGGGGAGGCUCUAUAAUUUUUCCAGGAUCAUACAGCACAUAAAAUAGUAGAUCUAGAAAUAACUAAGCAUGCCUGCUUUCAAAAUGCAUCCUCUACCCACUGGAGGACAGUUUCUCUAAAUAAAUAGGCUGUUAUUCAUAAUACCAAGAUCUGAAAUCAACCUAGCAUCCACCAAUGGAUGAGGAGAUAUUGAAAUGAAAGCAUGCCAUGUAUAUACAAUGGAACACUUUCUGACUUCUGAAAGGGGGAAACUUCAUUAGUUGAGGCAACACGAGUGAACCUGGAAGACAAUACAUUGAGUGAAAUAUACCAGACACAGAAAGACAAAUGCCAUAGCUUUCCACAUAUGUAUGAAAUCUUAAAAAGACUAGGUUUUCUUUAAGGUGCUGCCGCUGGGAAUUUGACCAUGCCAACAGUGAGCAGGUGGGCAACACGAAUUGGACUUGAAUUUUUUCGUUUCGUUUUCUCCUCCUUCUCUUCCUCCUCUUCCUGUUCCUCCUCUUCCUCCUCCUCCUCUUCCUCCUCUUCCUCCUACUCCUUCUCCUCCUUUUCCUUGUCCUCCUCCUCCUUCUCCUCCUCCUCCUCUUCCUCCUCCUCUUCCUUCUCUUCCUCCCCCUCUUCCUCCUCCUCUUCUUCCUUCUCUCCUUCCCCUCUUCCUCCUCCUCUUCUUCCUUUCCUCCUCUUCUUCCUUCUCUUCCUCCUCCUCCUCUUCUUCCUUUCCUCCUCUUCUUCCUUCUCUUCCUCCCCCUCUUCCUCCUCCUCUUCUUCCUUCUCUCCUUCCCCUCUUCCUCCUCCUCUUCUUCCUUUCCUCCUCUUCUUCCUUCUCUUCCUCCCCCUCUUCUUCCUCCUCCUCCUCUUCUUCCCCCUCCUCCACCUCCUCCUCCUCUUCUUUUCUUCUUCUCUUUAGUGGAAAGUCACAAAAUUAGGAACUGAACCUGAAAGGACUGGGAAGUAAGUGUGAAUGGGUACAUGGUGGGAAAUUCACAAUAAUUAAUUAAAAUAUUGUGUAGAGAAAGUAUAAUUCACAGAAGUAGAGGAUUGUGUGCUGGUUAUCAAGGCUAGAGAGAGAAGGGUAGAUACAAGGGAAAGUACAUAAUGUCCAGUCAUGAAACAAUGUGUUCAGGACUUGCUGUUUCAUGAGAUGACUCAAGUGAGUAACCGUGCAAUAUUGUGUUGUGCAGUUCAAAACUGCUGAGGUUUUAAGUAUUCUUACCACAAAAAAAAAUGAGUGCGCGAGUCAAUGGGUAUGCUAACUAGCUUGACAUAAUCAUUCAAUGGUAUACAUUUAUAGCAAAUUAUCAUAUUGUAGACCAUAGAUGUGCAGAAUUAUUUGUUAAUUAGAAAUACAAACUUGGCUGAGCUCAAAGCACAGAUCUGUAAUCCCAGCCCUCAGGAGGCUAAGGUUGAAGCAUCAGGAGUACAAGGUCAUGUUCAGUCACACAGUGAUUUGAAGCCAGCCUGGACUCCCUAAGACCCUGCUUCAGCAAACACCAAAACGUAAAAAUUAAAACUAAAGGUUUAAAUUAAAUAAUAAUCAAGUUUGGCAUGCCACUUUUAAAAUACAACAGCGCAUUGCAUGGAUAGACUAUUAAUGCGAUGGUUCCUCUCAUGGAGAGCUAAAAUACCAACCACAAAGCAAAAAGGGUUGUCUUAGGUAGGGUUUCUAUUGCUACAAUGAAUCACCAUGAUCAAAAGGCAAGUUGGGGAGGAAAGGGUUUAUUCAGUUUACACCACCACAUUGUUGUUCAUCACCAAAUGAACUCGGGCCAGGAGCUCAAACAGAGCAGGAACCUGGAAACAGGAGUUGGUCCAGUGGCCACGGAGGGGUGCUGCUUACUGUCCUGCUCCUCAUGAGCUUGCUCAGCCUGCUUUCUUAUAGAACCUAGGACCACACACCAUGGGCUGGGCUCUCCCUCAUUGAUCACUAUUGAUCUCACAGAGAAGAAUGCCUCUAUGAGAUCCAGUGGUAAGGCAUUUUCUCAACUGAGGCUCCUUUCUGUCUGAUGACUCUAACUUGUGUCAAGUUGAUACACAGAGCCAGCUAGCACAAACAUGUUCAUGGUCGUAUUAUAAACUUUUAUAAGACAAAUACAAGGAUGUUUUGUCAAGGGUACUAGGAGAGUCUGAUUAUAGUCCUGAGACAACCAGGCUAUCAAUUCUAACCUCACGUGGGUUCCUCAUUCUUUAGCAUUAUCUUUACCUUGAAGGAAAGCAAUAAAAUGAGUGAACUGUGGAGCCAAGUUUGAGACUGGCGCUUAUCUACUCAGUGGCUCUGCCGCCUUAAACAAGGAAGCUAACUUAUCUGAACCUGUUUCUAUGGAUGACGCUAUGCUGCUGAAAUGUGACUCUGGGCACCGUAAGGAAUGCGGCACAGACUCCCUCAUUGCCGUGACUACCUGUCCUGGGGUAGCAUCAACACUUCAGUGACUGCUGGGGCACUGAUGCACCUACCUACCUUUACUGUCUUUCUUGGGGGCGGGGCAUAUUUUAUGUAUUUACAUUUCAAAUGUUAUCUUCUUUCCCCUCUCCCCCUGCUUCUAUGAGGAUGCUCCCACUCCCUCCCACCCACUCCAACCUCAAUGCCAUGCCUUUCCCCUACCUUGGGGGAAAUGAGCCUUCACAGGACCAAGGCCUCCUAUUGAUGCUGAACAAGGCCAUCCUCUACUACAUAUGUGGCUGGAGUCAUGGGUCCCUCCAUGUGUACCUAUUGGUUGGGAGUUUAGUCUCUGGGAGCUCUGGUGCAGUCUGGUUGGUCGAUAUUGUCGUUUUUCCUAUGAGGUUGCAAACCCCUUCAGCUCCUACAGUCUUUUCUCUAACUCCUCCAUUGGGGUCCCCUUGUUCAGUCCAAUGGUGAGCUGCAACCGUCCUCAUCUGUAUCAGUAGGACUCUGGCAGAGCAUCUCAGGAGACAUCCCUAUCAGGCUCCUGUCAGCAAGCACUUCUUGGCAUCAGCAAUAGCGUCUGGGUUUGGUGGCUGCAUAUGGGAUGGAUCCCCAGGUGGGGCAGCCUCUGGAUGACUCACCCUUUGCUCCACUCUUUGUCCCUGUAUUUCCUCCCAUGAGUAUUUUGUUCUCCCUUCUAAGAAAGAAUAAAGCAUCCAACAU